ACUAAAACUCAAAUCUCCAUAGCCACCGCCACUGAGUCAGAUAACAGAGUCAUUGAGUCAUUCCUACAGGCUGUAUUGCGAUAACGUUUCGCGGUUCCUAAGCGGCAAACACGUCCUUCCGCGUCUUCUACAGUUUUUGAAACUCGAUAUAAUUCAUAGCACACACGUCCACGCCAUCCGACAAAUGCGUUUUCCAGAGUCUGGCGACGACGUACGAUGACCACAGUAGCCCCCGGCGCGGGUGCCGACACCACUGCCGUACCAAUCGUCACCACUGCAGCCUCCAACGGCAAGGGACACAUUUUGCACGACGGUCCAGCGUAUUCGUUGGCGCUCAAUAAAGAGCACACGCACGUGGUGGUUGCCGGUAGAAAUGUGUUUAAAGUAUUUCUCAUCGAACAGGGAGGCUUCAAAGAAUGUGUCAACUUGCGCUGUGGCAAAACAUCAAGUGUGCAGAGUUCGUCGAGCAUGGAUGUAGCUUGGAACCCGGCAGAUGACAAUGUUUUGGCGACAGCUACGACAGGUGGUGCGGUAGUCACGUGGAACUUGAAUAGAUCAUCCAGGAACAAACAAGACCAUAUUUUUUACGACCACCGAAGAACUGUAAACAAGGUUACAUUUCAUUGUGUUGAACCCAACCUACUGAUGUCAGGUUCUCAAGAUGGCACAAUAAAAUGUUUUGAUUUGAGACUAAAAGAAGCUCCUAAAACUUAUUCCAGCGAUUCAGAAAGUAUUAGAGAUGUUCAAUUUAGCCCUCACAACAAUUAUGUAUUUGCUGCAGCUUCGGAAAAUGGCAGUAUUCAAAUAUGGGAUACCAGAAAAGCCGAAAAAUGUCUAAAUAAGUUUUCUGCUCAUAAUGGACCAGUAUUUUCUUGUGAUUGGCAUUCGGAGCUUCAAUUUCUAGCAACUGCCAGUCGUGACAAGACUAUCAAAGUUUGGAACGUUACAAAUAAACCUAUUGCUGAGUACACAAUUAGCACUAUUGCCCCAGUCGGACGAGUUAAGUGGCGGCCAUAUCGUAGGUAUCAUUUGGCAUCUAGUGCUUUAGUUCUAGACUCUGCCAUUAAUGUUUGGGACGUACGCAGACCUUAUAUUCCUUAUGCAUCAUUUGCUAAACAUACAGAUGUAGCAACUUGUAUUGCUUGGAAAGGAGAUCCUUUUGUACUUUUAUCCACAAAUCGAGAUAGUACUUUGCAUCAAAAUUUUAUAAGUGAAGCAGACUUGCCUUUAGAAAGUGCUAAUCAACAAGGUAUGGCUAUUAAUAGAGAUGGUGAUCUUGUAUUUUGUUGCCCAGUUAAUUUAAACAAAGUAGAAAUUCAAAAGUCUAAAGAAAGUUCUAGAAAGACUUCAACUACAACUAGUGGCGAAGAAGAAUUAAACACAUCUAGUGAGAUGAAUGUAUUCCGUGAUCCAAAAAUUGUUAUGUGUUUAUCUGAUGAAGCAGAGUGUAUCCAAACAUGUGCUAUCCAAUAUAAACUUAUAGGAAGAUCAAUAGGAGAACUCUGUGAACACAAUGCUGGUGUUGCUUCCAGUGUUGGAAGAACAACUGUUUUUUUGCUGUGGAAUGUCCUAAGAAUACUGUAUGAUCACCGUGUGUCUCUCAUUGCUCUAAAAGAAGAUAUUAUGAGCAGCUCAAACAUUGAUAGCAGCUUUGAUGGAGAGAACCAAAUUGGUUCCCUCAGCGAUGAAGAUGGUCUCAGAGGAGAUAGACCUUACCAGCUAGGAGAUUUCUAUUUUGGCAAUGCUGAAAUUGAUCCUUUAGAUGCUGAACAUGAUCAAUUUGACUUCAUAGGUUUACAGAUGGAUAGUAAAACUGUGGAAGAGGACAAUGAUUGGGAAGUACCUGUAGAAUCAAUAACUUUAAGACAUGAAAUCAUACAUGAACCAAUUGUUAAUGAUCCUUAUAUACCUAACUCAGCACCUUUAGCAAACAAAUUAAAUAAUCGCAUAACCUCUGCACCGCUAUUGCGAAUAACUUCUCCAGCUAAAUUUGACAUGUGGAAUCCUUCAGAAAUUGUUGUUAAAGCUCUUCGUCAUCAUGUUGAUGAAGGUGAUGUACAAACUGCAGUUUGUGCAUUAAUUGUUUUAAGUGAUGAAAUCAGAAGUGAACUAACUAAUCCUAGACAUUCUUGGCGUCUUUUACAUGGUGAAAUAGAAUCAUGGUGGUUAAAUUAUCUUGAAUUACUAAAAAAAUUCAAAUUGUGGUCAUGUGCUACAACGGUAAUCCAACUCUCACGUAUUCGUAGCAUAUUACAACUGCAUCGAACUUCCACUUCAGUUUAUUUGACGUGUGGAUGGUGUUAUAAAGGUUUGACACGAAACAAUCGACGCUGCUACAAUUGUCAACAUUCUGAAUGUGCUAGGUGUGCAUUAUGCCAAAGGAUUGUACGUGGAAUGUAUGCAUGGUGUAGGGGAUGUGCACAUGGUGGCCACAUUGGACACAUGAAGCAAUGGUUUAUGGAAAAUAAAUACUGCCCAACUGGAUGUGGACACAAGUGUGAAUAUUGAUCUCAAUACAAUGUAUUGAAUCUGCUCAUGCAAAAUCUAAUAAAUAACAUACCUAAAUUCCAUUGUUGAUUGGAAACUAUCAUCUUCUGUUAUGGAAAACACACACAAAAAUCCUUCACCACUUCGAAAAUAAUUGUCACGAAUGGCAGCAUAAUCUUCUUGGCCGGCUGUGUCCAAUAUAUCAAUUUGGACUUCUUCACCAUCCAAGACUACUUUUUUACGGUGCAAAAGCAAAGUAUAAAAGGGCAUACGGUGCUGUAGUCCGUGCCUGCAUCUGCAGUGACAAGCUCAGAGACGCACUACUAGUCAGCUCGAGCCUCGGAGUGAUGAUACAACCACCAUACCAAUGAUAUAUAUUCAUAUAUAUAAAUAUAUGCCUUCGUGGAAGUACAGUGGGUAGGUCUGAUUUUUAGACAAGAAAACCAUUUUUCACUAUUUGACGCGGCAAAAUCUAAAGAUACAAAAAUUUGUUUUCUUUACUAUAACUAAUAAUUAAUUUAAAUUACAUUUUUUCAUUUGUAAAAUUGAAUUGAAUUAUUAAUUUUGGUUUAAAUAUUACUGUUAAAGUUUAAAGUUUACACUGUAAACAAUUUUGAUUAUUUCAAUCCGUUUUGAUUUCUUGAAACUCUAUCACUACCAGGGUCAUAAUUUUUAAUUAACUGCGUAUACUUUUUAUAACAUCAAUAUGACAUCACAUAACAUUAAAAUAUAAUUAAGUAUAGGUACCUAUUUAUAUUACAGUACACGGAAUAAUUAAUUUAACCUACACGCUAAUUUCUUCGCUCAAUUUUUUGUGAUUGGUUGAGUAUGUUUUUGAACAAAAUUAAAAAGUAAUAAAAUGUUUGAUAUUGAAAAAAUCUAGUGUUAGUUAUUUAUUUUCGAUUUUAUAUAAAAAAAAAAUCUUUUUUAUAGAAAUCACAUUGACAGACUGAAAGAAUUAGUAAGCAGCCUAUCGUAUUUAUUAUUAUUGACCUAAUAUUAUAUUUUGAUUUUUGAUACCCAUUUAUAUUAAGUCAUAAAUGUAUUUACAUUAAACUAAUAAAGCACUGUUAUAAAUUAAUCACAAUGUAUAUGGUAUACAUUGUAUACUAUACAAUAUACAUAUAUAAUAAUACCUAUACAAUAUCACCUAUACAAUAUUAUGUUGAUUUGUUUAUUAAAUAUUAUAAUCAACUUUUAAUAUUGAAGAAAAUAUUCCUUUAUUUUCACUUAAUUUUUAGAAUGAGUUUUUUCUAUGAUAACCGAUUUAGAUAUAAUCGAACGGUUCAACUCGAACCGGAUGUACAGAUUUAUGACUCAUCAUUGGAUACAGUCAUGUUUAAUAAAUAUAGUAUUGUAAGAAUAUCAUUUUUUUAACCAUAUAUCCACACAGUAUAUGUAGGACGUAGGUAUAUCAUAUACAUAUGUUCUAAUGUACUAUACUCCUAUGUUUAUAUUAUAUAUUACUGUUGUAUUAAUAUUAAAAACAGUGGUAUAGAUACUAUAAUUUUAAUAACUAUUCUGUUUUCGGAAGUAGGCCAAACCGUUAUAACAAUAUAUUAUGUGUACUGUACAGAGUGCGGGCGUAACGGUGAAAUUUUCCGUACGGAUAUUUUGUUCGUUGUUGUUUUGGUCUUACAUGUACAUCAAUACAUCAUCAUCCGCCGCGGCUGACGGAUAUGCGGGCUCGGUGAUCGUGGCCCAACGGACGCAUUGGCAGUGAUGUUGCGACAGCGGUCUCGUCUCCGUGGUCGAAUCCGUGAGUUCAGCGGGACCUCUGACGGCCCGUCGGUGGCCAUCACGAUUGGAGUAGCGAUUGCGACGGGCGCGGGCGGCCACGCCAACAAAAACACGGGACGACGACGACGACGCGUCAUACAACCGCUGUUGUGGAAAAUAAACACACGCUGCACGCAUACGGCUGUAUGAGAAUAGGGAAGUAUCUAUAAUUAUGUCGACGAUUAAACGACUGUAUAGGAAUCACUAAAAUAUAACAAAUAUAAAUUUAUUAUAAUAUAAUAUAAUAUGACUCUACUGUUCUACUAAACCAACUACUAAAUCCAAAACCAGGGUCACUGUUUUAGGUAACGCAGGGUAUACCUUAGUGGCUCUAUUUUUUUUCUGUACCGUAUUGGCCUGCCUCAAUUGUAUGUUGCGCUAGUACAGCUAAAAUGUAAUAAAUAUACUAUAGAAUAGCUAUUGAAAAAUAUAA